rnacentral:rRNA from 1 species
CUCAGUAACACGUGGAUAAUCUGCCCUUAGGUGGAGGAUAACCUUGGGAAACUGAGAAUAAUGCUCCAUAGAUCUACGAUGUUGGAAUACACAUAGAUUGAAAGUUCCGACGCCUAAGGAUGAGUCUGCGGACUAUCAGGUUGUAGUCAGGGUAAGGACCUGACUAGCCUACAACGGAUACGGGUUGUGAGAGCAAUAACCCGGAGACGAUAUCUGAGACACGAUAUCGGGCCCUACGGGGCGCAGCAGGCGCGAAACCUUCACAAUGUGCGAAAGCGCGAUGAGGGAAUCCCAAGUGCUUGCACUUAAGUGUAAGCUGUUUCUUUGUUUAAAAUGCAGAGAGAGUAAGGGCUGGGUAAGACGGGUGCCAGCCGCCGCGGUAAUACCUGCAGCUCAAGUGGUGACCGCUAUUAUUGGGCCUAAAACGUUCGUAGCCGGCUGAGUAAAUGCUUGGGUAAAUCGUGCCGCUUAACGGUACGAAUUCCGGGUAGACUACUCAGCUUGGGACCGGGAGAAGCUAGAGGUACUCCUGGGGUAGAGGUGAAAUUCUGUAAUCCUGGGGGGACCACCAGUGGCGAAGGCGUCUAGCUAGAACGGGUCUGACGGUGAGGGACGAAACCCUGGGGCGCGAACCGGAUUAGAUACCCGGGUAGUCCAGGGCGCAAACGCUGCUUGCUUGAUGUUAGCUGGGCUCCGAGCUCAGCUAGUGUCGGAGAGAAGUUGUUAAGCAAGCUGCCUGGGAAGUACGAUCGCAAGAUUGAAACUAAAG